UACAGAGGUCUCAGGCGUUUGUUCGGAUUCAUUGGGCGUAAAGGGCGCGUAGGCUGCGGGGCAAGUCGGGUGUGAAAUCUCAGAGCUCAACUCUGAAACUGCACUCGAUACUGCUUUGCUUGAGGACUGGAGAGGAGAUUGGAAUUCACGGUGUAGCAGUGAAAUGCGUAGAUAUCGUGAGGAAGACCAGUGGCGAAGGCGGAUCUCUGGACAGUUCCUGACGCUGAGGCGCGAAGGCCAGGGGAGCAAACGGG
rnacentral:rRNA from 1 species